GCAAAUAUCCUGUGAUCCGGAGAUGUCUGAAUGGGGGAACCCAGCCAUCAUAAGAUGGUUAUCUUGUACUGAAUACAUAGGUGCAAGAGGCGAACCAGGGGAACUGAAACAUCUAAGUACCCUGAGGAAAAGAAAUCAACCGAGAUUCCCUUAGUAGUGGCGAGCGAACGGGGACUAGCCCUUAAGUUGAUUUGAGAUUAGCGGAACGCUCUGGAAAGUGCGGCCAUAGUGGGUGAUAGCCCUGUACGCGAAAAUCUCUUAGUCAUGAAAUCGAGUAGGACGGGGCACGAGAAACCUUGUCUGAAUAUGGGGGGACCAUCCUCCAAGGCUAAAUACUACUGACUGACCGAUAGUGAACUAGUACCGUGAGGGAAAGGCGAAAAGAACCCCGGAGAGGGGAGUGAAAUAGAUCCUGAAACCGUAUGCGUACAAGCAGUGGGAGCCUACUUUGUUAGGUGACUGCGUACCUUUUGUAUAAUGGGUCAGCGACUUAUAUUCAGUGGCGAGCUUAACCGAAUAGGGGAGGCGUAGCGAAAGCGAGUCUUAAUAGGGCGUCUAGUCGCUGGGAAUAGACCCGAAACCGGGCGAUCUAUCCAUGGGCAGGUUGAAGGUUAGGUAACACUGACUGGAGGACCGAACCGACUACCUUUGAAAAGUUAGCGGAUGACCUGUGGAUCGGAGUGAAAGGCUAAUCAAGCUCGGAGAUAGCUGGUUCUCCUCGAAAGCUAUUUAGGUAGCGCCUCAUGUAUCACUGUAGGGGGUAGAGCACUGUUUCGGCUAGGGGGUCAUCCCGACUUACCAAACCGAUGCAAACUCCGAAUACCUACAAGUGCCGAGCAUGGGAGACACACGGCGGGUGCUAACGUCCGUCGUGAAAAGGGAAACAACCCAGACCGUCAGCUAAGGUCCCAAAGUCAUGGUUAAGUGGGAAACGAUGUGGGAAGGCUUAGACAGCUAGGAGGUUGGCUUAGAAGCAGCCAUCCUUGAAAGAGUGCGUAAUAGCUCUCUGGUCAAGUGAUUCCGCGCCGA
rnacentral:rRNA from 1 species